UACGUAGGGGGCAAGCGUUGUCCGGAAUUAUUGGGCGUAAAGAGCUUGUAGGCGGUCUGUCGCGUCUGCUGUGAAAAUCCGGGGCUCAACCCCGGACUUGCAGUGGGUACGGGCAGACUAGAGUGUGGUAGGGAGACUGGAAGUUCCUGGUGUAGCGGUGAAAUGCGCAGAUAUCAGGAGGAACACCAAUUGCGAAGGCAGCUCGCUGGGACGUUACUGACGCUGAGACGCGAAAGCGUGGGGAGCAAACAGG
rnacentral:rRNA from 1 species